UACGUAGGAGGCGAGCGUUGUCCGGAAUUACUGGGCGUAAAGGGCGCGUAGGCGGCUCUGCACGUCCGUUGUGAAAUCGCCCGGCUCAACUGGGCGGGGUCAGCGGAUACGGCGGAGCUUGAGCAAGCUAGGGGGCAAUGGAAUUCCCGGUGUAGUGGUGGAAUGCGCAGAUAUCAGGAGGAACACCGGUGGCGAAGGCGGGUCUCUGGGCCGUUACUGACGCUGAGGAGCGAAAGCGUGGGGAGCGAACAGG
rnacentral:rRNA from 1 species